rnacentral:rRNA from 1 species
AAUUCGAUGAUACGCGAGGAACCUUACCUGGGCUCGAAACGUAAGAUGACUGUAGGUGAAAGCUUACAUCUCUUCGGAGCAUUUUACGAGGUGCUGCAUGGUUGUCGUCAGCUCGUGCCGUGAGGUGUCGGGUUAAGUCCCAUAACGAGCGCAACCCCUACCUUUAGUUGCCAUCAGGUUAAGCUGGGGACUCUAAAGGAACUGCCUACGCAAGUAGUGAGGAAGGCGGGGAUGACGUCAAAUCAGCACGGCCCUUACGUCCGGGGCUACACACGUGCUACAAUGGCCGAUACGGAGGGCAGCUACCUGGUGACAGGAUGCAAAUCUCCAAAGUCGGUCUCAGUUCGGAUCGGAGUCUGCAACCCGACUCCGUGAAGUUGGAUUCGCUAGUAAUCGCGCAUCAGCCAUGGCGCGGUGAAUACGUUCCCGGGCCUU